rnacentral:rRNA from 1 species
CCUACGGGAGGCUGCAGUGAGGAAUAUUGGUCAAUGGACGAGAGUCUGAACCAGCCAAGUAGCGUGAAGGAUGACUGCCCUAUGGGUUGUAAACUUCUUUUAUAUGGGAAUAAAAUGUUCCACGUGUGGGAUUUUGUAUGUACCAUAUGAAUAAGGAUCGGCUAACUCCGUGCCAGCAGCCGCGGUAAUACGGAGGAUCCGAGCGUUAUCCGGAUUUAUUGGGUUUAAAGGGAGCGUAGGUUGAUUGUUAAGUCAGUUGUGAAAGUUUGCGGCUCAACCGUAAAAUUGCAGUUGAAACUGGCAGUCUUGAGUACAGUAGAGGUGGGCGGAAUACGUGGUGUAGCGGUGAAAUGCUUAGAUAUCACGAAGAACUCCGAUUGCGAAGGCAGUUCACUGGACUGCAACUGACACUGAGGCUCGAAAGUGUGGGUAUCAAACAGGAUUAGAUACCCCUGUAGUC